rnacentral:rRNA from 1 species
GAUGAACGCUAGCUACAGGCUUAACACAUGCAAGUCGAGGGGAAACGACAUCGAAAGCUUGCUUUUGAUGGGCGUCGACCGGCGCACGGGUGAGUAACGCGUAUCCAACCUGCCCAUCACUUGGGGAUAACCUUGCGAAAGUAAGACUAAUACCCAAUGAUAUCUCUAGAAGACAUCUGAAAGAGAUUAAAGAUUUAUCGGUGAUGGAUGGGGAUGCGUCUGAUUAGCUUGUUGGCGGGGUAACGGCCCACCAAGGCAACGAUCAGUAGGGGUUCUGAGAGGAAGGUCCUCCACAUUGGAACUGAGACACGGUCCAAACUCCUACGGGAGGCAGCAGUGAGGAAUAUUGGUCAAUGGGCGAGAGCCUGAACCAGCCAAGUAGCGUGCAGGAAGACGGCCCUAUGGGUUGUAAACUGCUUUUAUAAGGGAAUAAAGUGAGAGUCGUGACUCUUUUUGUAUGUACCUUAUGAAUAAGGACCGGCUAAUUCCGUG